GCAUUUAAGCAGAAAGUGUUUCAGGCUCUGCAGAGGUGACACUGGCGUGUUUCUGCACUCAGGGUGCCCUUCCUGCCUUUUCCUCCCGGACACAGAGUCACAAGUGUGCACAGGGAAUGACAGACUCGGCGUCCAGUGGAGCCAUCCCCUGGCCUCGGAGUAGGAGGCGCGCCCAGGCCAGGCCAGACCACAGUGUAACAGGAGGGAGGAGGGCUUGCUUCUUUCAGGCAAGAAAAUUAAAACGGACAAAGAAAUAAAAGUAUUAAAUGUAUAGGAAAAACUGGAGUUUUUAUGACAGCGAUCAUCUAUAAAGAAACCAAGAGAAGUAAGCAAACAUUUGAACUAGCUCAGACAAGCAGCCUGCUUCACCCGCAGUUCACAAGGAAAACCCACAAUCAUAACGUUAAAAAUAUUCCCAAGCGCCGGGCGCGGUGGCUCACGCCUGUAAUCCCAGAACUUUGGAAGGCCAAGGUGAGAAAAUUGCUUAAGGUCAGGAGUUCAAGACCAGCCUAACCAACAUGGUGAAACCCCAUCUCUACUAAAAAUACAAAAAUUAGCCAGGCGUGGUGGCAGGUGCCUGUAAUCCCAGCAACUCGGGAAGCUGAGGUACGAGAAUCGCUUGAACCUGGGAGGGGGAAGUUGCAGUGAGCCGAGAUAGCGCCAUUGCACUCCAGCCUGGGCGACAGAGCGAGACUAAAAAAUGAAAUAUGAAAUGAAAUGAAAUAAUGAAAUGAAGAAAUGAAAUAUAAAAUAAAAUAAUCCCAAGCUUGGGACCCAGACUCUAACUGCUGAAAUGGAACCCCAGUGUGGAUCAGAACCUGGUGAUGAGACAGGGACACUUAAGAAUUCAACUUUGGGAGCUCAAGGUGCCCUCCAGUCCUCUCCUCACAGUGUGGAAACACUCUUUCCUUCAAAACCUUCAUUUGUACCAGCAGGAAACUCUCACCCGGAGUCAAUGUAAAGUCGUGACCUAAAUAAAUUGUCAUGUUCCCAAACCUUUUCUCCAGGGGACAAUGCAAACAAGUUUUUCACUGAGUCUGACCCUCACAGAUUUUCUUCAUGUAUACAAAUUACAGCCUGACUCAGCGACCCCAUGAAUGCUAAAACCAAAACACUGUCCAGGAAAUGGCCCCAGGCGCCAAAGGCUCCAGACUGGUCUCAGGCUCUCCUGCCCACUGCAGUUUAUUCACUUGCUUCUCACCAACACUGAUCCACUUAGAACUCUAAUGUGAUCGUGGGUCAUAAGACUCUCACUCCAAAGAGUGUCCUGUCCUGUACGCUGGGGAAAGGAAUGCUACACAGAAGCCAAAAAUUAUCUGGACAGGGGUUGGAUGCAGUGGUUCACGCCUGUAAUCCCAGCACUUUGGGAGGCUGCGGAGGGAGGAUUGCUCGAGCCCAGGAAUUCAAGACCAGCCUGGGAAAGAUGUCGAGACCCCAUCUCUAUGAAAAAUAAAUAAAAAGGCCGGACGCGGUGGCUCAUGCCUAUAAUCCCAGCACUUCAGGAGGCUGAGGUGGGCGGAUCAUGAGGUCAAGAGAUCGAGACCCUCCUGGCCAACAUGGUGAAACCCCCGUCUCUACUAAAAAUACAAAAAUUAGCUGGGCGUGGUGGCGCGUGCCUGUAGUCCCAGCUACUUGUAGUCCCAGCUACUUGGGAGGCUGAGCCAGGAGAAUCACUUGAACCCAGGAGGCA
rnacentral:lncRNA from 1 species